rnacentral:lncRNA from 10 species
UUGGAGCCGCAGGGCUUAAUCCCGCGCGGCUCAGAGAUGGGUUUCUGGACUCGCGAAGCAGCUGCAACAAGGCAUCACUCACUGUAUAAGUAUUUCCAUUUCUGAGAGCAAAAGGAAGAACUUAAGCGGGCGGCACUUGGAGUGUAAAUUGCUUUGUAGUAUUUAAAGGCAGAAUGGAUCCUGGGCAGCCGAGCUGCAACAAACCGGCAGGACUUCCUGUGAAAUCAUGACCACCAUGUGCUCUUUCAGCCUCUAUCAGUUCCUACCUCUAAGCACCUGAGAGCCAAAGCAAACCACAGGAAACCACAGGCCUUUGGAGUCAGACUGGAACUACAGCAUUGACUCUUCCGGAACUCCAGCUUACUGACUACAGAUCUUGGAACUUUUCAGCUUCCACAACCAUAAUGAAAGCCAAGCAUAUUCCAUCAUUUCCUAAAACCAAGAUAGAGCACAUAUGGGAACUUGUGAAAUAAGGAUGCCCUGCGGUUGUUUUCAGGACUGAAGACAACAGCUCCACGAUGUAUCUUUGCAUAAGAAUACACUUGUAUAAUAAGUUUUUUUUUUUAGAGAAAUUGCAUGUAUCUGCCUUAUAAACUUUUUCAUUCAUUCAUUUUCUUUCUUCCUAAUCUGUUCCAUAAAGCAAAUUUCUAACUUAUUGUUAAUCAAAAUAAUUAUUGAAAUAAUUAGUACUUUCAUAUGAUAAAGAUUAUUUUAAUCUGCAGCUACAAAAUAUGUAACUCAUUAAUAUUUAAACAAUCACAAUUUUCUAUUAACAUUAUAGCAUUUUAUCUACUACUAGAUCAGGAAUUAGCUAUUUUUUGUAAAAUUUCUUUGUAAGGCAAAGCAAUAGUAUUGUAUAUACUUUCCUAAAGAUUGUCAAGUUCAGUUUUGCUUAAAUUUAACAGUACAUGUGACACUUUCUGUUUGAAGAAUAAGUUGGUUUUAAGUUUAUACCAAACAAAAGCAUCUCUUUUGUUUUGCAAAAUCUGAAACUUUGAUCUUUCUAGUUGUGACUUCUUGUAAAUAUGUUUUAUAUAAAUAUUCUAUGAAUUGGUUAUUAACAAGGUAAAGAAAGAUUGAUAUGUAAGCUGAUUCUUAAACAUUAAUUUUCUGGAGAUAAACUUUUUUAAAAUUAUGCUUUAAAAAUAUUUUAACACAUGUUAUCAAAAAGGAACUGAAAUAUCUUAGGCAUAAAAGACAUCUCUAGAGGUCAUUAUUCAGUUUCCAGAAAGUACUGAAACUAUCUCUGACAGAUUGAUACGUUUUCUGCAUUUAUAGCUCUCUGGAGAGAGGUUCUGUAUAUUUAACAAUUCUCACUGUGAGGGAUAUUUUAAGUAUUUCAAAUUUAAAGUGCUCAUGUUUCAGAUUCAGAUUAUUAUUAUCAUCAUCAUUAUUUUGGUUCUGGCUUCAGUAAAAAUGUGAAAAACACUUUUCCAUCUUCUGAUAAUAUUUCAUAUUUAUAAAAUUAUUAUUAAGUUAUAACUCAGCUUUUUCAUUUAUGCUUUAAAUCCUUUUAUUAUCUCAUCACAACCAUCUUUGACUGUUUAUCAGAAAUGGUUCUCUUUUGUACAUUGACCAUUAUUUUAUAGAUCACAUUUAAGUUAAUAUAAAUCAUGCCUAUAAAUUUCAGCCUGCUUAUUUUUUAUAAUCUAGUCAGAUAUCAGCUAGACAUAUUGUUACCAAGUUUGGAGAGCCUUGGGAUAAGCUAGUUUCAAAACUGGCUGUUAGCAUCCCUCAGUUGUGUUUUGGGAGCAAAGGACACCCUUAAAAAAGGGAGGCAGUUAUAUUUUGUGAGCAUUAUAAAAUAAACUUAAAUUCUCAUAAAAUUAGUGAAUAUGUUUGGAACAGUGUGAAUUACGUGUGUGCUACAUGAAGUAUAUAGAAUUCAUUUGAAGUAGGAAGUCUGGCCUUACCUCAAAAGACAGUCAUUCAAUUAAGCAGUUAAACAUAAGCCACCAUAAGAAGUUUUUUUGAUACUUAGAGAGAGAAAGGCAACGUGUAUUAAAAUUCCGGGACCAUUAUCUCAGGAGUGCUGUGUUAUUAUUGACUGGGGGCCUGCUGGGAAGCUAGAAAUAUAUCUAAAAUGUGGCAGGUGGUUAAUUAGAGCAUAUGAAUAAAUAUAUAUAAAUUUGUUAAAGCGUUCACUUAUGGUAAACUAUACCUCAAUUAAAAAGAAAAAAUAUGCACAAAGAAAAUAAAUAAUGAAUGGAAAUAUGAGCCUCUAAAAUCAAAGUUAGAAAAGCAGAUAUUCAAAUUUGCAGAGCUGAUUGUCAACUGGAAUGAUUGUGAUAGAAUCAAGUCUCACUAGCUCAUUGGAAAUAGGAUUUGUUAAGGUAAUGAUGGUUAAUGAUUUUUCAGCAUAAUAACAGCCAAGUUAAUGUAUGGGUGCGUGUGUGUAUCCAUAGGUGUAUGUUUUUACAUGCGUAUUUUUAUUGUAAAAUUAACAUGUUUAUUGAAAACAAGAAAGCACAGAAAAUAUCAACUUAAGUAAAGAUCAACAUAAUUUAGUUCAAAAUUAUAUUCAACAGUGCAUUAUUUCAAUGUUUUUUAUCUUAAUCCAUUUGCUUGAAAGCAUUGAUAUAUGCUCCAAAUUUCCUCCCAGAUUCCACUUGGGGAAAUAUUUAGUAUAUUGGAUUAUGAAAUGAUUUAUCUUUACCUAUAUUAUUAGUAAAGUUCUUAAAAUUUUUAGCCUGUUACUGUCUAUGUGAUUAGUGAUAUUGUUCACAUGACUAAAAUUCAAAGAUAAAAUAUGAUUAUAUUUUAUGGGUGAAAGUUAGGAAGCAAAAUAGCAUAUUAAUACAUUUAACUAAAGUAGUAUUCAUUUGGAUAAUCAAGGUCAAACACUUCAAAAAUAAUAAUUUUAAAGUUAAUGCUUUCAAAAAAUAAAUUAGCAAAAAUUAUUUACUUUGUUUCUUAAAAAGAAGAAUUAUUGAAAAAAAUUCUACCAUCAAAAAAUAGUUGUUCUAUGCCUAGUUUAUUUUAGUCACUGAAUAAGACUGAGCCCUUGACCUCAUAUUUUUUCCUGCCUCACCAUUAGCAGUUAGGUUUAGCUAUGCAAACCUUUAUUUAUUCAACAUAUAUAAAAUACUUAGUAUGCAGUAGAUGUUAUUCUAAGUGCUUGGUAGAUAUCAACACAUUUAAUAAUCAAAACAACUCUAAGAGGUAAUUAGUACUAUUAUCUCCAUUUUAUUACUGAGGAAACCAAAGCACAAAGAGAGAAAGAAAAGAAAGAGAAAAAAGGAAGAAAGAAAAGAAAGAUGAAAGAAAGAAAGAGAAAGAAGAGAGAGGGAGAGAGAGAAAGAAAGAGAAGGAAAGAAAGAAGGAAGAAGAAAGAAAGAAAGAAAGAAAGAAAGAAAGAAAGAAAGAAAGAAAGAAAGAAAGAAAGAAAGAAAGAAAGAAAAAAGGAAGGAAGGAAAAGAAACACAUGGAAAGUGGUAUGUAGACCUGCCAUUUCAAUCUAUACCUUCUGCCUCUGUGCUUCUAUACCUCCUGAGUUUAAUAUAUACUUCUUUAUUUAAACAGUUUUAAUAUAUAAAUGCUAAUUUUUCUAUGAUAUAAUUUUAUAAUAAAUAAAUAAAAUUAGCUUGCUAUCAAAAUAUCCCAGUUCAUAAUUUUAUAACUUCACCUCUAGACCAUGAGUAACCCUCAACCUACCAUCUCCUCUUUUUGGACAUCUUUGGUAUUUGUAUCCCUGUUUCUUGGUCUCUAAAUAUCUCUUCUUUUAUUCAUGUGUUACCUUUCC